GAGAGAGGAAGCAGUCCCAGUAAGAAGUGUUUGGGAGAAAAUCCCAUUUCUGUUUCUUUAAGGGCCAAGGAUUAGGGAGCCUAGCAAAGAGGGGAGGGCAAGUCUCCCCUGUCACCCAAACAACUGGGGAUGAACUGGGAGAAGGGGACCAGCAUAAAUGCUGUCUUCUCCCUAAUAACAAGGAAGACACCAGCAGGAGAAAGUUGUUAAACCCUGUGAGCCUGCAGGCUGAGUAGGGGCAGCUGAUGCAGAAGCUGGCUAAAGUACUGCACUGGGGUGACUUGAAGCCCAACUCCAGGAGGAGAGCUGGGGAUUCCUGCCCCUUGAAGGCUGGCUGUGGAGUGGCACUGCAGCCAAAAAGGAUGUUGUUACCCGCAUUCCUAGCGGUAGGGUGAACGCUGUCUUUGUGCAAACUGUGGAUCUUUGAUUGCAACUGUGACACUCUGCUCAGGACACUUUGAACCAUAAACUGCUGUGUUGGUGGAAAUGAAGAGAGGAAGAAGUGCUAGGGUGGUUUUGGAAGUGGAUAGUUGUAAUGGCUUUGUGAACAUUGAAAACCAUCACUCCUACUCUUCACGACAUUCCACGCCUCACCUCGUGUGUCUUCCAGAAAUGCAUUUCUGUUCUCUGGGUGGGUUGUGCAGAUUUGUAGCAAACGCUCCUGUAAAAUCCAAAUAUGGCUUAGACCAGGAAGGCAAGAUUAAGAACACUUUUUACUCUUUCCAAUA